UACGUAGGUGGCGAGCGUUAUCCGGAUUUAUUGGGCGUAAAGCGUGCGCAGGCGGUUUAUUAAGUCUAAGAUUAAAGCCCGAGGCUUAACCUCGGUUCGUUCUGGAAACUGGCAGACUAGAGUAUGGUAGAGGCAAAUGGAAUUCCUAGUGUAGCGGUGAAAUGCGUAGAUAUUAGGAGGAACACCAGUGGCGAAGGCGGCUCUCUGGUCUGCAACUGACGCUGAGGCUCGAAAGCAUGGGUAGCGAACAGG
rnacentral:rRNA from 1 species